GGGUUGUGAGGUUAAGCGACUAAGCGUACACGGUGGAUGCCCUGGCAGUCAGAGGCGAUGAAGGGCGUGCUAAUCUGCGAUAAGCGCCGGUAAGGUGAUAUGAACCGUUAUAACCGGCGAUACCCGAAUGGGGAAACCCAGUGUGACUCGUCACACUAUCAUUAACUGAAUCCAUAGGUUAAUGAGGCGAACCGGGGGAACUGAAACAUCUAAGUACCCCGAGGAAAAGAAAUCAACCGAGAUUCCCCCAGUAGCGGCGAGCGAACGGGGAGGAGCCCAGAGCCUGAAUCAGCAUGUGUGUUAGUGGAAGCGUCUGGAAAGGCGCGCGAUACAGGGUGACAGCCCCGUACACAAAAGCGCAUGUGCUGUGAGCUCGAUGAGUAGGGCGGGACACGUGGUAUCCUGUCUGAAUAUGGGGGGACCAUCCUCCAAGGCUAAAUACUCCUGACUGACCGAUAGUGAACCAGUACCGUGAGGGAAAGGCGAAAAGAACCCCGGCGAGGGGAGUGAAAAAGAACCUGAAACCGUGUACGUACAAGCAGUGGGAGCACAGGUUUACCUGUGUGACUGCGUACCUUUUGUAUAAUGGGUCAGCGACUUAUAUUCUGUAGCAAGGUUAACCGUAUAGGGGAGCCGGAGGGAAACCGAGUCUUAAUUGGGCGUUAAGUUGCAGGGUAUAGACCCGAAACCCGGUGAUCUAGCCAUGGGCAGGUUGAAGGUUGGGUAACACUAACUGGAGGACCGAACCGACUAAUGUUGAAAAAUUAGCGGAUGACCUGUGGCUGGGGGUGAAAGGCCAAUCAAACCGGGAGAUAGCUGGUUCUCCCCGAAAGCUAUUUAGGUAGCGCCUCGUGAAUUCAUCUCCGGGGGUAGAGCACUGUUUCGGCUAGGGGGCCAUCCCGGCUUACCAACCCGAUGCAAACUGCGAAUACCGGAGAAUGUUAUCACGGGAGACACACGGCGGGUGCUAACGUCCGUCGUGAAGAGGGAAACAACCCAGACCGCCAGCUAAGGUCCCAAAGUCAUGGUUAAGUGGGAAACGAUGUGGGAAGGCCCAGACAGCCGGGAUGUUGGCUUAGAAGCAGCCAUCAUUUAAAGAAAGCGUAAUAGCUCACUGGUCGAGUCGGCCUGCGCGGAAGAUGUAACGGGGCUAAACCAUGCACCGAAGCUGCGGCAGCGACACUGUGUGUUGUUGGGUAGGGGAGCGUUCUGUAAGCCUGUGAAGGUGUGUCGUGAGGCAUGCUGGAGGUAUCAGAAGUGCGAAUGCUGACAUAAGUAACGAUAAAGCGGGUGAAAAGCCCGCUCGCCGGAAGACCAAGGGUUCCUGUCCAACGUUAAUCGGGGCAGGGUGAGUCGACCCCUAAGGCGAGGCCGAAAGGCGUAGUCGAUGGGAAACGGGUUAAUAUUCCCGUACUUGGUGUUACUGCGAAGGGGGGACGGAGAAGGCUAUGUUGGCCGGGCGACGGUUGUCCCGGUUUAAGCGUGUAGGCUGGUUUUCCGGGCAAAUCCGGAAAAUCAAGGCUGAGGCGUGAUGACGAGGCACUACGGUGCUGAAGCAACAAAUGCCCUGCUUCCGGGAAAAGCCUCUAAGCAUCAGGUAACAUCAAAUCGUACCCCAAACCGACACAGGUGGUCAGGUAGAGAAUACCAAGGCGCUUGAGAGAACUCGGGUGAAGGAACUAGGCAAAAUGGUGCCGUAACUUCGGGAGAAGGCACGCUGACACGUAGGUGAAGUGAUUUACUCACGGAGCUGAAGUCAGUCGAAGAUACCAGCUGGCUGCAACUGUUUAUUAAAAACACAGCACUGUGCAAACACGAAAGUGGACGUAUACGGUGUGACGCCUGCCCGGUGCCGGAAGGUUAAUUGAUGGGGUCAGCGCAAGCGAAGCUCCUGAUCGAAGCCCCGGUAAACGGCGGCCGUAACUAUAACGGUCCUAAGGUAGCGAAAUUCCUUGUCGGGUAAGUUCCGACCUGCACGAAUGGCGUAAUGAUGGCCGGGCUGUCUCCACCCGAGACUCAGUGAAAUUGAACUCGCUGUGAAGAUGCAGUGUACCCGCGGCAAGACGGAAAGACCCCGUGAACCUUUACUAUAGCUUGACACUGAACAUUGAGCCUUGAUGUGUAGGAUAGGUGGGAGGCUUUGAAGUGUGGACGCCAGUCUGCAUGGAGCCGACCUUGAAAUACCACCCUUUAAUGUUUGAUGUUCUAACGUGGACCCGUUACCCGGGUUGCGGACAGUGUCUGGUGGGUAGUUUGACUGGGGCGGUCUCCUCCUAAAGAGUAACGGAGGAGCACGAAGGUUGGCUAAUCCUGGUCGGACAUCAGGAGGUUAGUGCAAUGGCAUAAGCCAGCUUGACUGCGAGCGUGACGGCGCGAGCAGGUGCGAAAGCAGGUCAUAGUGAUCCGGUGGUUCUGAAUGGAAGGGCCAUCGCUCAACGGAUAAAAGGUACUCCGGGGAUAACAGGCUGAUACCGCCCAAGAGUUCAUAUCGACGGCGGUGUUUGGCACCUCGAUGUCGGCUCAUCACAUCCUGGGGCUGAAGUAGGUCCCAAGGGUAUGGCUGUUCGCCAUUUAAAGUGGUACGCGAGCUGGGUUUAGAACGUCGUGAGACAGUUCGGUCCCUAUCUGCCGUGGGCGCUGGAGAACUGAGGGGGGCUGCUCCUAGUACGAGAGGACCGGAGUGGACGCAUCACUGGUGUUCGGGUUGUCAUGCCAAUGGCACUGCCCGGUAGCUAAAUGCGGAAGAGAUAAGUGCUGAAAGCAUCUAAGCACGAAACUUGCCCCGAGAUGAGUUCUCCCUGAGACUUAGAGUCUCCUGAAGGAACGUUGAAGACGACGACGUUGAUAGGCCGGGUGUGUAAGCGCAGCGAUGCGUUGAGCUAACCGGUACUAAUGAACCGUGAGGCUUAACCUUACAACGCCGAAG
rnacentral:rRNA from 1 species